rnacentral:rRNA from 1 species
UACGUAGGCAGCGAGCGUUGUUCGGAAUUACUGGGCGUAAAGAGUGUGUAGGCGGUGUUCCAAGUUCGGUGUGAAAUCUCCCGGCUUAACUGGGAGGGUGCGCCGAAAACUGGAAUGCUCGAGCGUGGGAGAGGAAAGCGGAAUUCCUGGUGUAGCGGUGAAAUGCGUAGAUAUCUGGAGGAACACCGGUGGCGAAGGCGGCAUCCUGGACCAACACUGACGCUGAUGAGCGAAAGCCAGGGGAGCAAACGGG